AGUGAACGCUGGCGGUAGGCCUAACACAUGCAAGUCGAACGGCAGCACAGUAAGAGCUUGCUCUUACGGGUGGCGAGUGGCGGACGGGUGAGGAAUACAUCGGAAUCUACUUUUUCGUGGGGGAUAGCGUAGGGAAACUUACGCUAAUACCGCAUACGACCUACGGGUGAAAGCAGGGGAUCUUCGGACCUUGCGCGAUUGAAUGAGCCGAUGUCGGAUUAGCUAGUUGGCGGGGUAAAGGCCCACCAAGGCGACGAUCCGUAGCUGGUCUGAGAGGAUGAUCAGCCACACUGGAACUGAGACACGGUCCAGACUCCUACGGGAGGCAGCAGUGGGGAAUAUUGGACAAUGGGCGCAAGCCUGAUCCAGCCAUACCGCGUGGGUGAAGAAGGCCUUCGGGCUGUAAAGCCCUUUUGUUGGGAAAGAAAAGCAGCAGGUUAAUACCCCGCUGUUCUGACGGUACCCAAAGAAUAAGCACCGGCUAACUUCGUG
rnacentral:rRNA from 1 species